UACAGAGGGUGCAAGCGUUAAUCGGAUUUACUGGGCGUAAAGCGUGCGUAGGCGGCAAGAUAAGUCGGAUGUGAAAUCCCUGGGCUCAACCUGGGAACUGCAUUCGAUACUGUCUAGCUAGAAUUCGGUAGAGGGUGGCGGAACUCCAGGUGUAGCGGUGAAAUGCGUAGAUAUCUGGAAGAACACCGAUGGCGAAGGCAACCACCUGGGCCUGAAUUGACGCUGAGGCACGAAAGCGUGGGGAGCAAAC
rnacentral:rRNA from 1 species